rnacentral:rRNA from 1 species
UGAACGCUGGCGGCGUGCUUAACACAUGCAAGUCGAACGAGGUCCAUGGAGCUUGCUCCGGAAGACCUAGUGGCGAACGGGUGCGUAACACGUGAGAAACCUGCCCCGAUCUCUGGGAUAACAGUUGGAAACGACUGCUAAUACCGGAUGCCAUCACACCGUCUCAUGGCGGAGUGAUGAAAGAUUUAUCGGAUUGGGAGGGUCUCGCGGCCUAUCAGCUAGUUGGAGAGGUAACGGCUCACCAAGGCAUCGACGGGUAGCUGGUCUGAGAGGAUGAUCAGCCACACUGGAACUGAGACACGGUCCAGACUCCUACGGGAGGCAGCAGUGGGGAAUCUUGCACAAUGGGCGAAAGCCUGAUGCAGCAACGCCGCGUGCGGGAAGAAGGCCCUAGGGUUGUAAACCGCUUUCAGUAGGGAAGAAAAUGACGGUACCUACAGAAGAAGGUGCGGCCAACUAC